rnacentral:rRNA from 1 species
CUACGGGAGGCAGCAGGGGGGAAUUUUCCACAAUGGGCGAAAGCCUGAUGGAGCAAUACCGCGUGAAGGAGGAAGGCCCGUGGGUCGUAAACUUCUUUUCUUAGAGAAGAAUCAAUGACGGUAUCUAAGGAAUAAGCACCGGCUAACCCUGUGCCAGCAGCCGCGGUAAUACGUAGGGGGCAAGCGCUGUCCGGAUUUACUGGGCGUAAAGGGUGUGCAGGCGGUCUGGCGUGUCGAUGGUGAAAGCUCCCGGCUUAACCGGGAAAGUGCUGUCGAAACUACCAGACUUGAGGACGGAAGAGGAAACUGGAACUUCUGGUGUAGCGGUAAAAUGCGUAGAUAUCAGAAGGAACGCCGAUAGCGAAGGCAGGUUUCUGGGACGUUCCUGACGCUGAAACACGAAAGCUAGGGGAGCAAACAGGAUUAGAUACCCUGGUAGUCCUAGCUGUAAACGAUGUACAUUAGGCGUGGGGAGUUUUCCCCGUGCCGGAGCCAACGCGUUAAAUGUACCGCCUGGGGACUACGGCCGCAAGGUUGAAACUCAAAUGAAUUGACGG